rnacentral:lncRNA from 1 species
UCAAUGGGUCUCUAGGUAGAAAGGACCCCGACCGGCAGAGACCGCUGCCUUGUUAAACGGUCAAUGUAGCGCAAGAACGGGGGUCACCCGGAAGUAGUUUGCCUAGAUUCUUAUUGUGAAAACCAAACAGCUGCAUUGCUCGGACAGUAACUGUCUUUCUUUAAGGGAAAUUGAUCGUUUUUUUAUUGUUUAUGACUGUAAAGAGAUAAUCCGAGACCAAAGGACAUGAAAAUACAUCCGUUCCAGCAGGUGAAGUUUCUUUAAGCAAAGUUCCAGAACAGUUUUUGCCUGAAGAACAGAGGGCAGCUCUAUGAGGGAGUACAACGGAGACUAAAGUCCUUUGGAAGAGCCAUUUUUCCUGGACCUGCUGCAUAAGCCUGACUGGUUGUUGAGGAGAGGAGCCGUGAUUCCUGCCUGGAGUGUCGGGCUGAUGAGAUGCAGAACAACAUCUAGAGGGACUGCAUGAAGCACUUUGAACAUUAACUUUGUGUUUGGAGUUGACAAUCAAAACUGCUAUUUAAAGUGUUGAUAUUGGACUUUUAUCUAGGAGUUGUUUUUUACUUGCUCCUUGUUUUAUCAUUUUGAGUCUUAAAGCUUUAACAAUAUUGAUAUUUUCAAAGCAGUCCAGAAAUAUCUCUUCUUGCAGGUAAAAACUGAAUGCUAACAUGAGCUUUG